rnacentral:tRNA from 1 species
GCAGCUGUCGAAUAAUGGCUAAUUCACGAGGCUUUCAACCUUGCAAUGGUGGGUUCAAUUCCCCCUAGCUGCU